GACGAACGCUGGCGGCGUGCUAACCCCUGCAAGUCGAACGGAAAGGCCCUGCUUUUGUGGGGUGCUCGAGUGGCGAACGGGUGAGUAACACGUGAGUAACCUGCCCUUGACUUUGGGAUAACUUCAGGAAACUGGGGCUAAUACCGGAUAGGAGCUCCUGCUGCAUGGUGGGGGUUGGAAAGUUUCGGCGGUUGGGGAUGGACUCGCGGCUUAUCAGCUUGUUGGUGGGGUAGUGGCUUACCAAGGCUUUGACGGGUAGCCGGCCUGAGAGGGUGACCGGCCACAUUGGGACUGAGAUACGGCCCAGACUCCUACGGGAGGCAGCAGUGGGGAAUAUUGCACAAUGGGCGGAAGCCUGAUGCAGCAACGCCGCGUGCGGGAUGACGGCCUUCGGGUUGUAAACCGCUUUCGCCUGUGACGAAGCGUGAGUGACGGUAAUGGGUAAAGAAGCACCGGCUAACUACGUG
rnacentral:rRNA from 1 species